CACGUAGGGCGCAAGCGUUGUCCGGAAUUAUUGGGCGUAAAGAGCUCGUAGGCGGUCUGUUGCGUCCGCUGUGAAAACUCGGGGCUUAACCCCGAGCCUGCAGUGGAUACGGGCAGACUAGAGGUAGGUAGGGGAGAAUGGAAUUCCCGGUGUAGCGGUGAAAUGCGCAGAUAUCGGGAGGAACACCGGUGGCGAAGGCGAGUCUCUGGACAUUUCCUGACGCUGAGGCACGAAAGCCAGGGGAGCAAACGGG
rnacentral:rRNA from 1 species